AAUACGUUCCCGGGUCUUGUACACACCGCCCGUCACAUCACGUAAAGUUGGUAGCACCCGACGUGUCGCUUCGGCGACCCUAAGGUGAGACCAAUGAUUGGGUG
rnacentral:rRNA from 1 species